ACCCGACUGCUAUCGGGGUGAGACUAAGCCAUGCAAGUUUGCGCUCCCAGCUAUGGCGGAGCGCGGCAGACGGCUCAGUAACACGUGGCUAACCUACCCUCAGGACGGGGAUAACCCCGGGAAACUGGGGCUAACCCCCGAUAGGAGCAGACACCUGGAAUGGGUCUGCUCCGAAAGGAAUACAGUACCAUGCUUACUGUAUCCGCCUGAGGAUGGGGCUGCGGCCUAUCAGGUAGUUGGCGGGGUANCGGCCCGCCAAGCCGAUAACGGGUAGGGGCUGUGAGAGCAGGAGCCCCGAGAUGGGCACUGAGACAAGGGCCCAGGCCCUACGGGGCGCAGCAGGCGCGAAACCUCCGCAAUGCGGGUAACCGUGACGGGGUCACCCCGAGUGCCAUCCGAAGAGGAUGGCUUUUCCUCGGUCUAAAAAGCCGGGGGGAAUAAGCGGGGGGCAAGACUGGUGUCAGCCGCCGCGGUAAUACCAGCCCCGCGAGUGGUCGGGGCGAUUAUUGGGCCUNAAGCGUCCGUAGCCGGCCCG
rnacentral:rRNA from 1 species